AGUGAACGCUGGCGGUAUGCCUAACACAUGCAAGUCGAACGGCAGCACAGUAAGAGCUUGCUCUUACGGGUGGCGAGUGGCGGACGGGUGAGGAAUACAUCGGAAUCUACUUUUUCGUGGGUGAUAACGUAGGGAAACUUACGCUACUACCGCAUACGACCUACGGGUUAAAUCAGGAGUUCUUCGGACCUUUCGCGAUUGAAUUAGACGGCGUCGGAUUAGCUAGUUGGCGUGGUAAAGGCACACCAAGGCGACGAUCCGUAGCUGAUCUGAGAGGAUGAUCAGCCACACUGGAACUGAGACACGGUCCAGACUCCUACGGGAGGCAGCAGUAGGGAAUAUUCCGCAAUGGGCGAAAGCCUGACGGAGCAACGCCGCGUGAGUGAUGAAGGUCUUCGGAUCGUAAAACUCUGUUAUUAGGAAAGAACAAAUGUGUAAGUAACUAUGGACGUCUUGACGGUACCUAAACAGAAAGCAACGGCUAACUUCGUG
rnacentral:rRNA from 1 species